rnacentral:rRNA from 1 species
UACGUAGGAGGCAAGCGUUGUCCGGAAUCACUGGGCGUAAAGCGCACGUAGGCGGAUCUUUAAGUCAGGGGUGAAAUCCCAAGGCUCAACCUUGGAACUGCCUUUGAUACUGGGGAUCUCGAGUCCGGAAGAGGUUGGUGGAACUGCGAGUGUAGAGGUGAAAUUCGUAGAUAUUCGCAAGAACACCAGUGGCGAAGGCGGCCAACUGGUCCGGAACUGACGCUGAGGUGCGAAAGCGUGGGGAGCAAACAGG